rnacentral:rRNA from 1 species
UACGGAAGGGGCAAGCGUUGCUCGGAAUCAUUGGGCGUAAAGGGCGCGCAGGUGGCUCUGUAUGUCUGCCGUGAAAGCAUACAGCUCAACUGUAUUGUGUCGGUAGAAACUGCAGGACUUGAGGCUGGGAGGGCUGGUGGAAUUCCCUGUGUAGCGGUGAAAUGCGUAGAGAUGGGGGAGAACACUCGUGGCGAAGGCGGCCAGCUAGACCAGUUCUGACACUGAGGCGCGACAGCGUGGGGAGCAAACAGG